rnacentral:rRNA from 1 species
GACGAACGCUGGCGGCGUGCUUAACACAUGCAAGUCGAACGGAAAGGCUCCAGCUUGCUGGAGUACUCGAGUGGCGAACGGGUGAGUAACACGUGGGUAAUCUGCCCUGCACUCUGGGAUAAGCCUGGGAAACUGGGUCUAAUACUGGAUAUGACCUUUCUCCUUAUGGGGUUUGGUGGAAAGUUUUUCGGUGUAGGAUGAGCCCGCGGCCUAUCAGCUUGUUGGUGGGGUGAUGGCCUACCAAGGCGACGACGGGUAGCCGGCCUGAGAGGGUGAUCGGCCACAUUGGGACUGAGAUACGGCCCAGACUCCUACGGGAGGCAGCAGUGGGGAAUAUUGCACAAUGGGCGGAAGCCUGAUGCAGCGACGCCGCGUGAGGGAUGACGGCCUUCGGGUUGUAAACCUCUUUCAGCAGGGACGAAGCGUAAGUGACGGUACCUGCAGAAGAAGCACCGGCUAACUACGUGCCAGCCGCCGCCGUAACAC